GCCAACAUAGCUUAGCUGGUAGAGCGGCUGAUUUGUAAUCAGCAGGCCGGGAGUUCAAAUCUCUCUGUUGGCUCCA
rnacentral:tRNA from 3 species